rnacentral:lncRNA from 1 species
AUAUCAGGAUUUAAGUACCCAUUGGCAUGAGCUAUAUCUAUUGUGUCGUAUCAUGCUAAUAAGAUACCAACACGAUAUAACUCCCAUGCCAAUGACGCAGUUCAAAAUUUCUUUUACUUUAAAUUAAUAAGUAAUAUUUUCAAUAAAACUCAAAAAAAUUGAUAAAGAUACAGAAUAAACAAAUAGAAAAUUUUGUUGCUAAAAGCUAUUUUAUAUUGUGCCAAUCAAAUUACGACAUGAUUUUUUAUCACGAUACUUAAAUUCUUGCUCUAAUAGUUUCGAGCCGAACACGAGCUG